ACGUUUUUGUUAGCAACUCAACGCAUACAAAAAAAAAAUGAAAGAAAAGAAAUCUGAAGGAUUUAUUUAACGAAGGAAAAAAUCAAUAAACAGAUAAAGCAGAAUCGCUGGCAGGCCUCAGCCAUAUUUUCAAUUAAAUGACUGGGAAAAACUGCAAUUUUCAAAGGCAGCGCUGAAAAAUCCGAAAUGGCCAUAAAGAAAAUUGAUGGCACUACACAAGUUUAUUAAAAAGGCAGGCUGGCAGUCGUCUGUCUGUUUGCCCAGAACUGGUUACGCCCAGUGAGGGCGUUUCGGUUGGGGUUUAGCAGGAUCAGCCAUAGGCUGGCUCAAUCAUAAAGUGACCAAGCCGACAUUUUUGGGUCUGUGCUGCUAUGUCCUGCACUCGGGGCAUAUAAUUUACGGUGGGGGGUGUGGGUUUGAGUUUUGGGUUGGGAUUUGAGUUCGGAUUGAACUGGAGAGGGCGCAAAUUACAGCUGCGUGGGCUAGAACGGAACGAACCAAACCGGAGCUGGCCAUUUAUCACCCAAAGUCGUGUGUACUGUCGGUUUUAUGCUUUCAUGCAAUUCCUCGUGCUGGGCAACAUGAGACACAGUGGCCAGAUAAAGCCAACCCGUGCUGGAUAGUUAGUGCCUGCAGAGCAACGAUGACUGCGACUACGACGACAAAGUCAUUAAAUGCCAGCAGUCGGGUGGUUGGGUGGCAAAGGGACAACUGGAAGGAGGAGGAGGAGGAGGAGGAGGAAGUCCCUAGGACCGAGACGAAACAAAGGCAAACAGGGCAAAGGCCAGCGUUAAACUGCACAAAUUGCAACCUUAUACCAAACGAGUGGUGGAGCUCGACCCUCCAGCCGGGAGCAGCAAGGAGCAGCCAGACCAUCAGACCACACUAGUCCGAGAGCUCAUAAAUAAACCAAGCCAGAGAACCAAGGGCGAUGGAGUGGAGGGCUGGACACAAGUGCAUGGGGAAAAGUGAAAGCAGCAGGAGUGCCAGCUUAACUGAGCUGUAUUUUUAGAAGAGAAAUUAAUUUCGUAUCGGAUUUUUCGAUUUUCAAUUAAAGUCAAUGCGCAGAGCCAACAACAUGGAGGAUAGGAGGCAGCCAUGUAGCUGGUUUAUCAGCAUCAGUCUCCAGUGCUCCAGUGAGGAGCUGCUUUUUGCCCUGCUCAGCAGUCCAGCUAAUAGGAAUUUAUUGAGCCAUGAAAGUGUUGAGAAUGUGCAUGUGUGUGUGAGUUAACCGAUCCCAGAAAUGUCCCAGUGUGUGCUAUGUGUGCUAUGUGUGUGUGGGUCAAAAUAGCCAGCGCAUUAGAAGCCAAUAAGCCAUUGAAUUAUUCAGACCAUGCGAGCGCAGUGUUAGUGGGUGAAAGAUAAGGCGUUGAUAAGGGGUAACCAACUCUUUUUUAUCGCUAGGCAAUUACGAGUGCUUUGCGAUAAGAUUGCAACAACGAGAAGCAGCAGAGAUACAGAGCUACACGAAAAGGGGCAACCAGUCGACAACCAAAUCAGUGCAGGGCCAGGUGCGAAAGCGACAGGUCGCCAACCAGUCAGUGCCUCUUGGCCAACUGGGGUCACGACGCAAUUAGAAACAAAUGGUAGCCAAGUGAGUCAAGGUCACUGGCCCCAUUGGGCGCACUGGGUUUAAACAAUCGUUUUUGGAGUACUCAAAACCCUGUUUACACAAUACAUGGCCAAGGGGGACGAGACAAAAUGAAAAGAGCCCACGAAACGCAAAUAAGAAUAAUACGCAAUGUUUAUUUGCCUUAAGGCAAUAAUAAAAAUGGGCAGCGGCGGCAUCAGCAGUAGCAAAAAUUAAUGGCCCGGUGGGCGUGGUAACUGCAGGUGGGCGACCAUAAGCAGCCAACCGUUUCAAUCAACGUCAAAUUAAACUUGUCCCGAGACUCAGGACGAGUUGCCAGGUGAGCAGCAGCAGGAGCAGAAGGAGCAGACGGAGCAGGAGGAGGAACUGAGGACGAGGUGGCACCCAUUAAACUUCAACCGCUUGCUGCUCAAUUUCAACUGCAAUUUUGUGGCAAACUAGGUAGUAUAUGCUCGACGGGGGUCGACGGUGUCUCGAAAGUCAACAGAAAGUUGCAUCUAAUUAGCAGGAAAGGUGCGCCACCCAUUCUGCCACCUGCCCGCAAGUUCAGCAGGAGUUCGGAGCUCAGACACCACCCGCCCACAAAUCAAUCAAUUUAAAUUGCGAGCGAGUGGAAUGAAAAUAUUGAAAAUUGCAGUCGAUUCCAGAAAUAAAGAGAGCAAGUUAAAA